GGCACGCCUAACACAUGCAAGUCGAACGAAGUAGCAAUACUUAGUGGCAGACGGGUGAGUAACAUGUAGGUAUCUGCCCUAUGGCCUGGAAUAACACGAGGAAACUUGUGCUAAUACCGGAUAAGUCUUUACGGAGAAAGCUUUAUGCACCAUUGGAUGAGCCUGCACUUGAUUAGUUUGUUGGUAGGGUAAUGGCCUACCAAGACUGUGAUCAAUAGCUGAUUUGAGAGGAUGAUCAGCCACAUUGGGACUGAGACACGGCCCAAACUCCUACGGGAGGCAGCAGUGGGGAAUCUUGCACAAUGGAGGAAACUCUGAUGCAGCGAUGCCGCGUGAGUGAAGAAGGCCCUUGGGUUGUAAAGCUCUUUCGUCGGGGAAGAAAAUGACUGUACCCGAAUAAGAAGGUCCGGCUAA
rnacentral:rRNA from 1 species